GAUUCUGUAGCUCAGCUGGUUAGAGUUGGAAAUUCAUACUUUCUAGGUCGUAAGUUCAAAUCUUAUCAGAAUCA
rnacentral:tRNA from 1 species